rnacentral:rRNA from 1 species
GACGAACGCUGGCGGCGUGCUUAACACAUGCAAGUCGAGCGGUAAGGCCUUUCGGGGUCCACGAGCGGCGAACGGGUGAGUAAAACGGGGUUGAUCUGCCCUGCCCUUCGGGAUAAGCCGGGGAAACUGGGUCUAAUACCGGAUAUGACCUCCUAUCGCAUGGUGGGUGGGGGAAAGAUUUAUCGGUGCAGGAUGGGCCCGCGGCCUAUCAGCUUGUUGGUGGGGUAAUGGCCUACCAAGGCGACGACGGGUAGCCGACCUGAGAGGGUGACCGGCCACACUGGGACUGAGACACGGCCCAGACUCCUACGGGAGGCAGCAGUGGGGAAUAUUGCACAAUGGGCGAAAGCCUGAUGCAGCGACGCCGCGUGAGGGAUGACGGCCUUCGGGUUGUAAACCUCUUUCAGCAGGGACGAAGCGCAAGUGACGGUACCUGCAGAAGAAGCACCGGCUAACUACGUG